rnacentral:lncRNA from 1 species
AUCAAAUCCUUCCUUUUCAAGCUCUUUGGAACCUAGACUUGCUAAGGGAAUCACUUCACUUAAGGAAGCGAGAAAGCGUAGAAUAGUGCGAGAACGUAUUUGUUUGGAAGCUUGCCGAGGUAAGGGCACCUUUCUAUUUAUGCCUUACUUCCGUCGAUAACAUGAGUGUAUGUUNNNNNNNNNNNNNNNNNNNNNNNNNNNNNNNNNNNNNNGAGUGCUUGGUAUGAUUCGUGUGAUGUAUUCUCGAUAUGAGAUCGUGAUGAAUACUUGUUUUGUUGUUUUACAUAUUAUGUGAAUAUGUAUGUUGGCGUGUUGUUGUGGAAUGUUACAUGUUAUGUGAAUAUGUAACUGUUUGCAGGAGCAUAUGUGAACGUGUAUGUCACUGACGACUGCACGGGGUAAGUCAGUGAAGACUGCCCUAUGUAUGUGAAAAGAAAAUAAUAUGCUCAUGCAUUCAUAGUCGUGUAAGUCAGUGACGACUGCACGGGGUGUGUCAGAUGGGACCACCUAAUCCUACGGGAUUUAUUGAGUCGGUGUUUGUCAGUGACGACUGCACCCUUUUAGUAGGAGUGACCCUACGACUCGUUGCGGUGAGGUUAAAUUCCGGAAUUCAUGCAUGUGACUUAACCAGUGACUGUUAUUUCACAGUGGUAACCAGUGACGGUUAUCACGUUCAUUCAUUAGAGGUUUUGCAUUAGGCUAUGUGUGCACUUUAUUUAUUAUUCUUGGUGUUGAGAAUAUGUUUGACGUUUACUCGCUUUCCGUUUUGGUACUUGGCAUUUGGUAUGUGUAUUUGGUAUUUUUAUACUUGUUUCCAGUUGGUGACCCUUGCUUUGUUUGUGAUAAAUGAACGGGUUAUCCCCCACCUUAGAUGACGGAGAGCCUAGCGAGACUGUGGGUCAUG